rnacentral:rRNA from 1 species
GACGAACGCUGGCGGCGUGCUUAACACGUGCAAGUCGAACGGAAAGGCCCUGCUUUUGUGGGGUGCUCGAGUGGCGAACGGGUGAGUAACACGUGAGUAACCUGCCCUUGACUUUGGGAUAACUUCAGGAAACUGGGGCUAAUACCGGAUAGGAGCUCCUGCUGCAUGGUGGGGUUGGAAAGUUUCGGCGGUUGGGGAUGGACUCGCGGCUUAUCAGCUUGUUGGUGGGGUAGUGGCUUACCAAGGCUUUGACGGGUAGCCGGCCUGAGAGGGUGACCGGCCACAUUGGGACUGAGAUACGGCCCAGACUCCUACGGGAGGCAGCAGUGGGGAAUAUUGCACAAUGGGCGGAAGCCUGAUGCAGCAACGCCGCGUGCGGGAUGACGGCCUUCGGGUUGUAAACCGCUUUCGCCUGUGACGAAGCGUGAGUGACGGUAAUGGGUAAAGAAGCACCGGCUAGCUACGUG